UGCGGUUCUUGGGUGACACACCCAGAACCAGAGAGGAGGGAGCCUGAUUCUGGGGUGCAUCACCCAAGAACCGCC
rfam:Myotis davidii contig319427, whole genome shotgun sequence.